UUGAACUGGAGAGUUUGAUCCUGGCUCAGAUUGAACGCUGGCGGUAGGCCUAACACAUGCAAGUCGAACGGUAACGGACCGCUGGGAUUCCUUCGGGAUGACCUUGGUGCCGACGAGUGGCGGACGGGUGAGUAACACGUAGGAAUC
rnacentral:rRNA from 1 species